UACGUAGGGGGCGAGCGUUGUCCGGAUUUAUUGGGCGUAAAGAGCUCGUAGGCGGUUCGAUAAGUCGGACGUGAAAUCUCCACGCUCAACGUGGAGGGCCGUUCGAUACUGUCGUGACUCGAGUCCGGUAGGGGAGUGUGGAAUUCCCGGUGUAGCGGUGAAAUGCGCAGAGAUCGGGAGGAACACCCGUAGCGAAGGCGGCACUCUGGGCCGGUACUGGACGCUGAGGAGCGAAAGCGUGGGGAGCAA
rnacentral:rRNA from 1 species